rnacentral:rRNA from 1 species
GAUGAACGCUGGCGGCGUGCUUAACACAUGCAAGUCGAACGGGAUCGGCUGGAGCUUGCUCCGGCCGUGAGAGUGGCGAACGGGUGAGUAAUGCGUGACCGACCUGCCCCAUACACCGGAAUAGCUCCUGGAAACGGGUGGUAAUGCCGGAUGCUCCAGUUGGAUGCAUGUCCUUCUGGGAAAGAUUCAUCGGUAUGGGAUGGGGUCGCGUCCUAUCAGGUAGUCGGCGGGGUAACGGCCCACCGAGCCUACGACGGGUAGCCGGCCUGAGAGGGCGACCGGCCACAUUGGGACUGAGAUACGGCCCAGACUCCUACGGGAGGCAGCAGUGGGGAAUAUUGCACAAUGGGCGCAAGCCUGAUGCAGCGACGCCGCGUGCGGGAUGACGGCCUUCGGGUUGUAAACCGCUUUUGACUGGGAGCAAGCCCUUCGGGGUGAGUGU